ensembl:lncRNA
AUGGACUGGAGGGGCAUGGGGGGUGAUUUCUGUGGUCACAACUGGAAGAAAGCCCCACACAAUCAUCCAACACAAAAUCAGAGAGAUAGCAAAGAACAACUGAGCAGAAAGCAGCAUUUCUGGGAAGAGGCAUCAGGAGCCACAAACAGAUAUGAAGAGCAUGAUUCCCAAGAUAAUUCCUCUUCACCUGAUGUGUCCCAGGCAAGCCAAAGGUUGGACACCCAAAACUCAAGAAGGACAGUACCUGACUGUUCUAGAGCUGCUAUAAUCAGAAGAAAAAUGCUGCCCACUUCCUGGUGAGUUAGUGCAGUUUUGUUUUUGUAGCGUCAUGUUUUCCUGGUAAAGGCGUGAAAUCCUGCGGGCUGAUGUGUGAGAAUGUUUUCCUGGCUGCUCACCAGUUACCAAGGAAAUCUAGAGUCCAGAAUUUUUUGAUGUUAUGGUUGUGAACAAGUUGCUUGGAACAGUUUUUCUGGCCCAUUAAACUGAAGGCAAAUGCAAGAGCAGCUUUUUUUGAAAAAGUGAUUUUUAAGCAUUAGAAGUGUCAAGAAGCAUGUAUGUACUUCUGCUGAGGCAGUUGAAGUUAUUGUAUCUCCCAUUCUCAGGAAGUGCAGGUGGACCAGGGAAACAUGUUUUAUGGUCUUUGAGUGGGACAAGAUUAAUAUUUGCAAUCUAUGCUUAUAAUUUUUGGUGUUGCUAGUCCUAACAGUCGCCGUUUCUAUGAUUCCCUUCAUUAUGUCUCCAAGAUCCAAAUGAUUCCCCUUUUAUGUAUAUUUGUAUUUAACCCUUAGUAGGACUGGAUUUUAAAAUAUGCAUUGACUUUUGAAAUGUUACUGAUGUUUACAUGUAUGCUGUGGCAGAUAUGACCUGUAGAAGAGGGAAAGUAUCAAGAAAGCUUUAUGUGAAUAAGCUUGAAAUAUGGUGCCUAUAACAUGAUCCAGUGAGGUGCACUUAAUCCUGAUCCUAAGAGAUUUUUAAAUCUCUUAAGAGUCAGACUUUUAGCCAGUGCAGCUCUGUGCAUAUCCUUCUUAGGUCUGCAGUUCCUGUUUUCUGUAUAAGCCUACUCAUCCAUGCUAAACUUUAGAGAAAGCCCUCUAGUUUUUCCUGAUACCUUUGGAUUUCACUUGGUACGGUGUGUUGUAGAAGUGAGACUCAGAACCUGGCUUUCCUGUGCUCACAACGUUCUUGGAGGAGCUGGAUUCACUGAAUGGCAGAUAAUCUCUUUCAUGGAGGGACAACAGGGAAUGUGUCUUCUGUGUUCAGCAAGAAUAUACCAAGGAACACACUGUGUUUCUCUAUGUAGUUAAAUUAUUUGCAAUUCAGGAUGGACCUAAUUUAUUUUAUCUGCCACUGUAUGAUGCAUUACAAAUGAGUUAGCAAUUAUCAGUGCAGGGCCUGUUGAUUAGUUAUGUGUGUGUAUACACUAUGUUACAGAGUGGAAUAUGGUUUCUAAGGGAUACCACAGCAGGUAUGCAUCCUCUUCCCUGUUAAAACUGGUUCUCAAAUCACAGCAUUUUCUGAUGCAACACCACAUUCAUAUUGCUGUGCUGGAGACUCCAGACACAAAAUGCAGAGCACCAUGAGUGCAAGCACACCGUAUUUAAGGACACUACUGAACAUUCUGUUUUCCAUUAAGUGCAUUUAAAAGAUGAUAUGUAGUACCACUACUAGACAUAAACUCAGCCAUGUUUACAUUUGGUGAUGAUGAGAAGAGAGACAGUGUUUCUGAUGAUAAUAGUAGAGAUCUGCUGGUAAUUCAGCUAAGUUACAAUUACAGCACUGUGCACCCUGACUGGCGGGAUUCUGCUGUAAACUGAUGACUUGCAUAUCUUUGUGAGUUCAUGUGUUGAAACAAUAAAGAGCUAGGGUUGCUCUACA